rnacentral:rRNA from 1 species
AUUGAACGCUGGCGGCAGGCUUAACACAUGCAAGUCGAACGAGUGGCGGACGGGUGAGUAAUGCUUGAGAAUCCCGCUUAUGGAGGGGGAUCACCACGGGAAACUGUCGCUUAUCCCGUGUUCUCUAGGAUGACCCCAUGUGGGUAUCGGGAGUGGGGGGGGUAAUGGCUCCCCAAGGCGACGAUCUCUAGCUGGUCUGAGAGGAUGAUGAGCCACACUGGGAAUGAGACACGGCCCAGACUCCUACGGGAGGCAGCAGUGGGGAAUAUUGCACAAUGGGCGAAAGCCUGAUGCAGCCAUGCCGCGUGUGUGAAGAAGGCCUUAGGGUUGUAAAGUACUUUCAGCGGGGAGGCGUUACCCGCAGAAGAAGCACCGGCUAACUCCGUGCCAGCAGCCGCGGUAAUUC